GGGUGACAGCCGUGCGGGGGCUGCCGGGGGGCUGCUGCUCCCCAACAGGGUCGGGCAGGAGGAGCCCACACCCGUCGGGAUGGUCACCCCCCACCCAGCACAGGGUAUGAAAAAGAAAAAAAAGAAGAAAAUCAAGAAUAAAAUCAAGUCACGGGAAGCUUCUCUGGAGCAGCGGCGUGAGGAGGUCUCAAGCACCUUCGAUCUGUACCGGCGGGCCAUGCUGGCUCUGAGGAUGAGGCAGGAGCAGAGGAAGCAGCCGUCGGCCAUCGCUCCCUGAGGCACAGGGCUCGGUGGCAGCGGGACCCUGCUGGGGCGCUUGGCCGGGGAGCUCCUGGGCCAUAAACAGCAUCACUGUCCUCUGCAAGGCUUGAAAACCAGGGAUCCGCAGGGGCGAGCCGAAAGUCCCUUUGUCAGGGCUCCUCUGGCAGUGGGGCUGCAAAUCCGGCUGAAAAGGGAAGGGCUGGCCCUUGCUGCCCCCUGCUCGCGUCCCGCGGAACGCUCCGCCGAAACCCCCAUCAGCCUGCGGAGGAUCCGAGCAGCAUCGCAGGGGGAAAUCUUGGCUCUUGAAGUGCCCUGUGCCCUGGGAAAGCUGUCUUUGCAGGCCAGGGGCUGAGCCGGGCCGGCAGUCUCUCCUAGGAGCAGUCUCGUUGCUGGAGGUGGGA
rnacentral:lncRNA from 1 species